AGUGGCGGACGGGUGAGUAAUGUCUGGGAAACUGCCUGAUGGAGGGGGAUAACUACUGGAAACGGUAGCUAAUACCGCAUACCAUCAGAUGUGCCCAGAUGGGCUUAGCUAGUUGGUGGGGUAACGGCUCACCAAGGCGACGAUCCCUAGCUGGUCUGAGAGGAUGACGAGACACACGGGAACUGAGAAAAGGUACAGACUCCGACGUGAGGCAGCAGUGGGGAAUAGUGUAAAAUGGGCGCAAGCCUGAUGAAGAAAUGCAGAGGGUAUGAAGAAGGUCUUAGGGUUGUAAAGUAUUUUCAGCGGGGAGGCGUGACCCGCAGAAGAAGAACAGGCGAACGCCGGGCCAGCAGCCGCGGUAAUAA
rnacentral:rRNA from 1 species